GAUGAAAGAAGGUGAACCCAAUGGUCGCAAAGCAAGGUGAAAGAAGGUGAACCCAAUGCAAGGUGAAAGAAGGUGAACCCAAUGGUCUCAAAGCAAGGUGAAAGAAGGUAAACCCACUGGGUCUCAAAGCAAGGUGAAAGAAGGUGAACCCAAUGCAAGGAGAAAGAAGGUGAACCCAAUGGUCUCAAAGCAAGGUGAAAGAAGGUAAACCCACUGGGUCUCAAAGCAAGGUGAAAGAAGGUGAACCCAAUGCAAGGUGAAAGAAGGUGAACCCAAUGGGUCUCAAAGCAAGGUGAAAGAAGGUAAACCCACUGGGUCUCAAAGCAAGGUGAAAGAAGGUGAACCCAAAGCAAGGUGAAAGAAGGUGAACCCAAAACAAGGUGAAAGAAGGUGAACCCAAUGGUCUCAAAGCAAGGUGAAAGAAGGUGAACCCAAUGGGUCUCAAAGCAAGGUGAAAGAAGGUGAACCCAAUGGGUCUCAAAGCAAGGUGAAAGAAGGUGAACCCAAUGGGUCUCAAAGCAAGGUGAAAGAAGGUGAACCCACUGGGUCUCAAAGCAAGGUGAAAGAAGGUGAACCCAAUGGGUCUCAAAGCAAGGUGAAAGAAGGUGAACCCAAUGGGUCUCAAAGCAAGGUGAAUGAAGGUGAACCCAAUGGGUCUCAAAGCAAGGUGAAUGAAGGUGAACCCAAUGGGUCUCAAAGCAAGGUGAAAGAAGGUGAACCCAAUGGGUCUCAAAGCAAGGUGAAAGAAGGUGAACCCAAUGCAAGGUGAAAGAAGGUGAACCCAAAACAAGGUGAAAGAAGGUGAACCCAAUGCAAGGUGAAAGAAGGUGAACCCAAAACAAGGUGAAAGAAGGUGAACCCAAUGGUCUCAAAGCAAGGUGAAAGAAGGUGAACCCAAUGGUCUCAAAGCAAGGUGAAAGACGGUGAACCCAA